CUUUUAUAAUUGUUCAGUCUUUGAUACUGAAUGGUUAAACUAUAUAUAUAAAAGACUCCAUGGAUGAUGAAAAAAGGGAAGUCUCCUCUCUUAAUGGCAGGAACUGAAGUGCUACAGUUGUCCUGCCAACAUGUUUAUAAUAAAUCUUAGUGAUAAUAGUAAGCAGCAGAUUUACAGUCUGGGAAGGAGCGUUGGAUUCAUUUUGUGAAGAUAGGCUUUCAAACUUCCUCACUUCAAAUAGUUAGGUAAAUACGGCUAGAAAAUCCUGCACAGAAACAAUUUAAUGAUAGAGGCCACAAAAUACAGAUCCUUCUCAAAGAAAACCCUCUCGGAGCAACAAUCCAGUAUACUUCGUUUAGGCUCUCUCGCCGCCGCCUCAGAAUCUACCAAUGCACGGUUUGAAUAACAAUUUAAAAACCAACUGCAAGCACAUAUUCCAAUGGCGAUGCAAAUUGGCCCAACUAGCCACUUCCUGGUGUUGCUUUAUUGAUUGUUUGAGAUAAAAACGAGCCUUAAUAGUUUUGGAUGGGCACACAACUUUGAUUGUAAAAAAACCGAAUAUACAAGACAUUGUCAUUUACUUAUCCAAGCACACAAGCCAUGCCGCGCAAUUGAUUUGAAUGGAAGCGCACGAGUACUUAUGGUUUAGAGAUUGAGAAUUUGAAUUUCAAGUAUGUUAAGCUCACAUUGUAAAACCUGUGGAGCGAGAAGUUAGUAUUUGACAAGUACAGGUGAAGAAUCGGCGUGUGAAGGUUUUGGAAGGGUUUAAGCUGAGCAGCACCAGAAAUAAUGGCAAAGAAAUUGGGAGAGAUGGCGUUCAAUAGGGGAGCAAUUAAUUGGUUUCCUGGUCACAUGGCGGCCGCCACACGUGCCAUCAAGGAGCGCCUUAAGUUGGCCGAUCUCGUUCUCGAAGUCAGGGAUGCCAGGAUUCCACUCUCAUCCGCAAAUGCUGAUUUGCAAAGUAUUUUAUCCCAAAAAAGGCGUAUAAUUGUUCUGAACAAAAAGGAUCUCACAAAUUCUAAUUUGAUUCAAAAAUGGACUCAGCAUUUUGAUCAACAUAAGCAUUGCUCUCAUUUUGCUCAUGCCCAUAACAAGAAUAAUAUAAAUAAGCUGUUAGUUCAAGUUGAAGCACAACUGAAAGAAGCAAUCUCAAGGCAGCCUACACUUCUGGUCAUGGUUAUUGGGAUUCCAAAUGUUGGAAAAUCUGCCCUUAUCAAUUCUUUGUAUCAGAUUUCUCGUAUUCGUUUUCCAGCACAGGAGAAGUUGAAGCGAGCGACUGUUGGCCCUUUGCCAGGUGUUACCCAAGACAUUGCGGGAUUUAAGAUUGCAAACCGACCUAGCAUUUAUGUUCUUGACACACCUGGUAUUUUGGUUCCUAAUAUUCCUGACAUCGACACAGGACUAAAGCUGUCCUUGACAGGAGCUAUAAAAGAUUCUAUUGUUGGUGAGGAUCGAGUUGCUCAGUACUUACUUGCAAUUCUAAACACCCACCGAAUACCUUUACAUUGGAAAGACUUGGAGAGUAAAGGCCAUGAAGAUUCUGCUCAUAUGUUUUCAGAGGGUCGAACGGGUGAUGGAUCUGAAGUCUCUCCGCACCAGAAAAAGAAAAAGAAGAAUGUAAAAUCAAAUAGAAUGAUUAACACAGAGGACCAUACCAUUGAAGUUAAGAAGGCUCUAUUUAGAACGUUUUCAGGGUUUGAGGGUAAUUUAGAGAAUGAAGAUGACCUUGAACAUCUAAUUGAGAGUCAGUUGAUUGCUUUGCAAAAAGCUUUUAGGGUCCCUCCCAAUUCAGGUGAAGUUGGACGGAAUAAAGUUUCCAAGAAGUUAGUACAUCUUUACAGGAUAGGAAACCUUGGUCAUUAUAUAUUAGAUUCGAUUCCCAAUGGUACAUCAAGGGGCGCAAUUGUCUGAGAAUAUCAUGAAAGCAUUGUUCAGAAUGGACUUUCGUUACAGACCAAAUUCUGCGGAACUUCAAAAUUUUAUUUUCAACGUAGUGCAUCUGGAUUUGUUUAUGAGGACUAGAAGGGGCCAAAUUCUGUGGAUGUCUAGAGAAGCACCCCAACAGAACCAAAAACACACAACCGGCACUAUCAAGCAAUCUUAGUGUUAGAGAAGUUCAGGAUGCAUAGAUGACAACGCUGGGAGUUGAUAGUAGAUGCUUUUUUUUCAAAUUAGGAGUUUUGGAGAUUGUCAUUGGAGUUGGGCUGCUUUGAAUUUAAGAAACACAUUUUACAGUUGGUUGUGACUUUAAGAGAAAUUUUUAUCCGGUAUCAUUUAACAAGGCAGCCAUUGUUUGGGAGUGAGUUUCACUACAUUUUUUCAUCUCAUGAUCACUUAGCUGGUCAUAUAAUGUUGUU